rnacentral:tRNA from 1 species
GCCGCCGUAAGCCUAAUUGAGCAAGGCAGUAGUCUUGAAAACUACCAGUAGCUGAUUUUUCGGUGUCUCGGUUCGAAUCCGAGCGGCGGCG